UAACGCGAAGAACCUUACCAGGUCUUGACAUCCCUUGCUAAUCCUAGAAAUAGGACGUUCCCUUCGGGGACAAGGUGACAGGUGGUGCAUGGUUGUCGUCAGCUCGUGUCGUGAGAUGUUGGGUUAAGUCCCGCAACGAGCGCAACCCUUAUUAUUAGUUGCCAGCAUUUAGUUGGGCACUCUAGUGAGACUGCCGGUGACAAACCGGAGGAAGGUGGGGAUGACGUCAAAUCAUCAUGCCCCUUAUGACCUGGGCUACACACGUGCUACAAUGGCAUAUACAACGAGUCGCCAACCCGCGAGGGUGCGCUAAUCUCUUAAAGUAUGUCUCAGUUCGGAUUGUAGGCUGCAACUCGCCUACAUGAAGUCGGAAUCGCUAGUAAUCGCGGAUCAGCACGCCGCGGUGAAUACGUUCCCGGGUCUUGUACACACCGA
rnacentral:rRNA from 1 species